UACGGUUUCUGUUUCAUUAUAACCGAAUCUCAGGGAGUCUUAAAGAAGAAGGCCUCAUCAUGGCAAUGCGAUGCCUACUGAGCAGGCUGAACUGCAAGGAGUAUAAGAACUGGAUUAAAGCCGGUUACUGUCUGAGUCUCCUGAAAAGCUCCCUGCAGACUUUCAUUGAAUCCGAAAUGAAGAGCUUUCACCAGAGGCUUUGCAGGGAGAUCCCACAAGGGCUGCCCCGGACCAGGUGUCAAUGCAAAGCCAGGGGGAAGCAGUUUAAUCCUGCCUGUCCGGUAUGUGUAGAGUGGAAAAAGAUAAUUCUAAAACAUCAUACCAACAAAAACGGUGAAAUACACUGGGGCAACUGUAAGCCGUCAUUGUGGCCAACAAACUACUGGGAAGUUGCCAAGGUAUAUAUGCCACGUGGACACGCAGACACGGCAGGACCACAACUGUGUGAUGCAGCUGCACUCCUCAAUCUGAUAAAUGCCUGUGAUCGCUUUAGAGAAUUCAACCAAUCCAAAGUUAGAGAGGUUAUAAAGUGUCGCAAUGAAUUAAUGCACUCAUCAGACAUGAAUGUUUCUUCAAACUGGCUGAAAGACUUUGGGCAAAGACUACAGAAUUUGAUAUUUGAGUUCAGACAUGUACCUGGGAUCCAUGAUGAGGGUAAAAGAAUCCAAGAGGUGUUGAAAUCAGACUGGCUUGUUGAAGAUUUUGGUUACGAAGUUGACGGACUAGUUAUGGAAAGCACGCAAACCCAUGAAGAAAUACCAAUGUUAAUAAUGUAUGAAACCGAACAGCAACUGAUACAACAGCUGCUCAAAGAAAUAUAUUUACAGAUUGAAGAACAGGUUGAAGAGCAAGAGUCAUUGUCUGAAAAGGACUUUGACUCUGUCCAGAAGGUGAAAGCUUUUCUAUCUGAACAUGUAGAUCUCCAGUCUAAUUUACAAGCAACCUUGGAGAAGCUGGACAUUUUGCAAAGAACACAUGUUAGUUUGGAAGGAGAAGGUACUUUUUAGGUGAAGUAGCGUGCUGGAAAUAAUACAUGCAGUUUUCCAUCGGCGUACUUACCUCCUGGUCCACUCUGUGCAUAGACUACUGCAUCACGAAGAAACAUAAUCACUCCAGCAUCGCCCCUUCCAGCUAGACUUCAGACCAAACGGGAAGGUGCUGUCCUCCGCUGGUUUCAGACACCAUGUUUACAGAACGGAGACUACAGAGAUAUUGGGACAUACUUGUAGAAGACAGAAGGGGGUUAAGGGUUGUAGAGAAGGUUACAAAGUGGUACUUUUGUGAGGAUUAAAGUUUCAGAAUCUGUGGCACUUUGAAAAUUGAGGUCCACAAGCAACAUCUAAAUCAACCUAAAUAACCAGGAGCAGAUAUGCCAAGAAGAAUGGGCCAAAUCACUCUGACACCGCAUGCAAAAGUAGUAGUAUACAGACUACAUAUUUUAGAUUUGUAUUUAAA